rnacentral:rRNA from 1 species
GACGAACUGUGCGAACGUUGUUCUGAAUCACUGGGCUUAAAGGGUGCGUAGGCGGCUUGUUAAGUCGGGGGUGAAAUACUUCGGCUCAACCGGAGAAUUGCCUUCGAUACUGGCGAGCUGGAGGAAGGUAGGGGUCGCGGGAACUGCCAGUGGAGCGGUGAAAUGCGUUGAUAUUGGCAGGAACGCCGGUGGUGAAGACGCGCGGCUGGACCUUUUCUGACGCUGAUGCACGAAAGCCAGGGGAGCAAACGGG